UUGAACGCUGGCGGCAGGCCUCACACAUGCAAGUCGAGCGGAUGAAGGGAGCUUGCUCCUGGAUUCAGCGGCGGACGGGUGAGUAAUGCCUAGGAAUCUGCCUGGUAGUGGGGGAUAACGUCCGGAAACGGGCGCUAAUACCGCAUACGUCCUGAGGGAGAAAGUGGGGGAUCUUCGGACCUCACGCUAUCAGAUGAGCCUAGGUCGGAUUAGCUAGUUGGUGGGGUAAAGGCCUACCAAGGCGACGAUCCGUAACUGGUCUGAGAGGAUGAUCAGUCACACUGGAACUGAGACACGGUCCAGACUCCUACGGGAGGCAGCAGUGGGGAAUAUUGGACAAUGGGCGAAAGCCUGAUCCAGCCAUGCCGCGUGUGUGAGGAAGGUCUUCGGAUUGUAAAGCACUUUAAGUUGGGAGGAAGGGCAGUAAGUUAAUACCUUGCUGUUUUGACGUUACCGACAGAAUAAGCACCGGCUAACUUCGUG
rnacentral:rRNA from 1 species